UGUACAGCCUGCAGGUCCCUGUUCAAAAGGUCUCUUCUCCACAGGAAGAGAAGAAGCCCUUAGGCAUGAGGGCACCUUGAUUUGCUUGCUCCUCUCCUGAAGCCAGGAACGCCCCAGGCUCCUCCUUGUCCUGCCAUCAUCAACCAAGGCUUCUGGCAGCAGACCAGUAAGCAGUAAGUUGAUGAGAGACAUUUCUGUGAAGACACAACAUCAGACACUGCAAUGAAUUCUUGUGCUUCAAAACGCUGUGCCCUAUCCCCUCCGCUCUGGACUCCUCGAGCUCCACAAGGCUGGGAACAGACCGACUCCAUCCGUGCCAAAAAGCCGCACCCACAGCAAUCACAUCCUGGAACAGAGACAGCUUCUGUAGGGAAGGUAUGCCUGAAAGAAGCUGUUAAGCUCAGGAGCACGAUGCCAGUGAGAGUUAAUCAGAUCUGUGCUUCUUAACUGGGGAGGUUUUUUUUUUUUUUUUUUUUUUUUUUUUUUUUUUUUUUGAACCUUGCUUUUUAAAAUGAGUGCUGAUUUUGUGCUAUCUUCAGGAUACCUGUGCUCACAUCCAGCUGGUCAGACAGACACUGUGCUCUUGCACUGCACCCAGCAAGCGUGCCCACGUCCCCCGUGCCCAGCCUGCUGGGUGUUAUUUAAGCUGUAAGAUAUGACAGAGCAUGCUUUAUGGUGCCAUUAAUUGAUGCUAUGGGUGACUUUAACCACCUAAGAAGUAUAUUAAUGGCCCUAUAAAAUACACCCUGGAGUGUCUUAAUAUGCUUAUGAGAUUGAUCGUCAGCUUUGUAUUCCACUGUGUGUGCUAUUAUUGAAAUAAA